CAGGAGGAGAAGGGGACGACAGAGGAUGAGAUGGCUGGAUGGCAUCACCGACUCGAUGGACAUGAGUCUGAGUGAAGUCUGGGAGUUGGUGAUGGACAGGGAGGCCUGGACUGCUUCGAUUCAUGGGAUUGCAAAGAGUCGGACAUGACUGAGCGACUGAGCUGAACUGAACUGAACUGAACUGAACCUUAACACUGAGAAUAGGCCAGUGGAAGGAGUCAUUACAUCUACUUAGCAGGCUGUUGUAGAGAAUUAGUAUGUGACAUAACACACUGUCUUUACUGUGAAGACAAGCCUUAGUAUCAUCAGAAUUAUAGGCUAUCUAUAUUUUCAUGGCACUGAGAAUUGUAUAACUAAUCAAGUUUCUAUUUUUGACUCCCUGCUAAAAAGUUUAGAACCACAUUUGGGAUUUACCUGUUGGCAAGGGUGUAAGCUGGGGGCUCUCCCAGUGACUCAGAUGAUAAAGAGUCUGCCUGCAAUAGGGAGACCCAGGUUUAAUCCCUGGAUCGGGAAGAUCCCCUGCAGAAGGAAAUGGCAACAGCCCACUCCAGUAUUCUUUCCUGGAGAAUCCCAUGGACAGAGGAGCCUGGCGGGUGGCGGUUAUUGUUCAGUCACUAAGUCAUGUCUGACUCUUUGUGACCCCAUGGACUAUGGCACACCAGGCUUUCCUGUCCUUUAUGGUCUCCCAGAGUUUGCUCAAACUCAUGUCUGUUGAGUCAGGGAUGCCAUCCAACCAUCUAUCCUCUGUUGCCCUCUUCUCCUCUUGCCCUCAAUCUUUCCUAGCAUGCCCUAUUUUCUCCUCUAGACUGAAACUUCCUGGAGGACAGGGACUCUGCCUGGUUCAUCUCUGUCUCUCCUUAGAUUGACGAGUGUUUGUGAAGGCUAAGAACAGAUGCUGAGAACAUCCACAUUUAAGUGGCCAGAGGGGAUUCAAGGAAAGGAUAAACAAAGAGUGAUCAGAGAGGUGGAGGUGACUGAAUCCAGAGCACCCAACAAAAGUCAAGGGAGAAGAAAGUUCCAUUGAAAAGCUUGUCAGUGGGACCAAUUACCAAAUAACAGAUUCUCAAAUAGGAAAAGUGAGGAAAGGAUUUGACAGUGAAAGAAGAGCAUUUUAGAAUUUGAUAUCCUGAAACCCAAGAUGAAUUCUAAGCAAUGCCACUGGUCCCUUGAACUUCCUUAGUGGCCUUAGUUCUGGCAGUUAUGAACAUUUCUUUUAACAGUAAGGCCAAUUUGGGAAAAAAUUAAGUGUUUAUGGGCUAUUUUUCAUUCAGAAUUAAAAUAGCUUCUUCAGUGGCUCCUAUGCAGACAAAAGGUCAAUUCUUAUAAAUUGGACUGCCUUUUAUUUGAAGGGAAAGGACUUUCCAGUUGGCGCUAGUUGUAAAGAAUCCACCUAUCAAUGCAGGAGAUGUAAAGUGGUCUGGGCUCGAUCUCUGGGUCAGAAAGAUUCUCUGAAGGAGGGCAUGGCAACCCAUUCCAGUAUUCUUGCCUGGAGAAUCCCUUGGACAGAGGAGCCUGUCUGGCUACAGUCUAGCUACAGUUCAUAGACGCACAAAGAGUCAGACAUAGCUGAAGCAACUAAACAUACACACACAAGAGGAAGGCUACAGGGCUUUCAGAACUCAAAAAUUCAGAUGAGGCAGAAUAGAGAAGCACCAGAAUAAAGGCCUCCCUAAGGUGCACUACUCAUUUCGUCUUCAAAUAAAGGUUUGUGGGCUCAUCCUUUCAUUUCAGAUGGGGUAGCUUUGGCUCCCUUGAGGUUAAAAACAAGCUAGUAGGGGCACUGUGGCUAAAUCAGUUCAUUUAGUUCAGGGCAAUAGUAAUGAACCCUUAUUAUUUCCCCGGUGCUACAUAGGCACUGAGAAAGGCAAUUAUUCUGAAUCCUUCCCCUCCUGCCUUUUUCUAACCCAGACCUCCCUCAUCUGUAGACAUAAAGCUUCCUGUCUCAGUGGGUUGUCCUCAAGCUCACCUCCUGAGCCAUAUGCCCCAAUCUCUGUUUUUUUUUAAACACAUAGGCUGCUUUGGAAAUUCUAUCAUGAAACUGGGAUGGUUCAUCACAGGUCCUGAACCAUAGGAUAUACAAAGAACACUUUAUCCCUGCUAAUUUGGAAUAGUAAAAUGCAGCAUACAAAAGAGGGAAUUGGUUUGGGCUUAGGGAAUAUAUCAAAUUUCCCAAAGGGGAUCCUACAAGAGUUAGAUUAAAAUACACAAAUUAAACUUACAGGAGGAAAGUCUUCAUCAUACUGAAUGUCUUCUGCUAUAAUGAAGUCAGGUUAUCAACUGGAGUAUGUGUUCAUUCUUCAUUUAAGCAUCUAAUUUUAUAUUUUUAGCAACUGUUUAUCAAGUUCUAGAUACAAGGUGCUGUUCAUGGAAAGCAAAGGAAAAUGCAAGAUUCGUCUCCUGAUGAGCAGGAAAGAACCUAGAGGAGGGGGGAAUGCUGAUGAUGACAGAAGAGGCAUAUGUGGAACCCAGCUUGGGGAGGCAGCUAUGAUAAAGAAAUGAAAGAAUAGAUGGGGAGACAUUGCCGAUGCAAAACAACCUUGUCCUCUUGAUUUAGUGUUUAUGAAAUGAAAGAAAGCAAGGUGAAGAAGCAUUAAUGAAAGUGGUGGGAGAAGCUGGGGGAGUCGCUGAGCUGAUGCGUUCACCUUGGAGUGUGUCUGGCUUGAGAUGUCACCAUGACCUACAGUGAGGCUUCCCGUGCGUGCUAGUUGCUUCAGUCCUGUCUGACCCUGAAACCCUAUGGAUUGUGGCUCACCAGGCUCCUCUGUCCAUGGGAUUCCCCAGGCAAGAAUACUGCAGUGGGUUGCCAUUUCCUUCUCCAGGGGAUCUUCCCAACCCAGGGAUAGAACCCAUAUCUCUUAUGACUCCUGCAUUGGCAGGAGGGUUCUUUAUUACUAGUGCCGCCUGGGAGUGAGACUUCCCAGACUUCUGAAAUGGAGAUUAAAAGGAUGGGGGUAAAAAUCAAAUUUCUAGGAUUUACCAUGAGUUUGAGCAAACUCCAGGAGAUAGUGAAGGACAGGGAAGCCUGGCAUGCUGCUGUUCAUGGGAUCACAGAGAGCUGAACACUACUUAGCGACUGAACAACAGCAAGUAGGUGCACUUAGUCCUGACUAAUAUUUUGGAGAGGAUUGGUGGAAGAAUAAAUAAGAUGAACAGAACAGCCAUUUUAAUUGGUGUUGGAGUUGGUGCUGAGAAUAUAUACCAAAAAUUGAAAAACAUUGUAUAAAUAGUUUCUAAAUGUGCUAUAAAAUAUUGUGGAAAGAAUGGACAUUAUAAAGCUUUCAGUAUAGUUUUCAGUGGUGUUAUAAUAGUUUCACUCAAAAAUAUUCAGUUUAAAUGGAUUUCUGCAAUUUAGCAAUCUUCCUAACUUUGUGAUUUUAUAAAAUGAAUGGAUACUGGAAUUGACUAUGCCAAAUACAUUACUUUAAAAUUGUCAAAUCAGUUUAUUUGCUAUCCGUAAUCUUCCUCCUUCCACCAACCACUGAAUUGUGCAUAUGGGGACUUUCAGAUUGCAAUCAGUGGAUAGUUUUUAACAGGCAGAUAUGUAUCAUAAGACUAUAUGGUGAAGAGUUGUG
ensembl:lncRNA